rnacentral:rRNA from 1 species
GUAGGUGGCAAGCGUUGUCCGGAAUUAUUGGGCGUAAAGCGCGCGCAGGCGGUUCUUUAAGUCUGAUGUGAAAGCCCACGGCUCAACCGUGGAGGGUCAUUGGAAACUGGAGAACUUGAGUACAGAAGAGGAAGGCGGAAUUCCACGUGUAGCGGUGAAAUGCGUAGAGACGUGGAGGAACACCAGUGGCGAAGGCGGCUUUCUGGUCUGUAACUGACGCUGAGGCGCGAAAGCGUGGGGAGCAAACAGGGAUUAGAUACCCUGGUAGUCCACGCCGUAAACGAUGAGUGCUAAGUGUUAGGGGGUUUCCCGCCCCUUAGUGCUGCAGCUAACGCAUUAAGCACUCCGCCUGGGGAUACGGCCGCAAGGCUA